rnacentral:misc_RNA from 1 species
GUAACAAGGUUUCCGUAGGUGAACCUGCGGAAGGAUCAUUACCGAGUGAGGGCCCUCUGGGUCCAACCUCCCACCCGUGUUUAUUUACCUUGUUGCUUCGGCGAGCCUGCCUUUUGGCUGCCGGGGGACGUCAGUCCCCGGGUCCGUGCUCGCCGGAGACACCUUAGAACUCUGUCUGAAGAUUGUAGUCUGAGAUUAAAUAUAAAUUAUUUAAAACUUUCAACAACGGAUCUCUUGGUUCCGGCAUCGAUGAAGAACGCAGCGAAAUGCGAUACGUAAUGUGAAUUGCAGAAUUCAGUGAAUCAUCGAGUCUUUGAACGCACAUUGCGCCCUCUGGUAUUCCGGAGGGCAUGCCUGUCCGAGCGUCAUUGCUGCCCUCAAGCACGGCUUGUGUGUUGGGCCCCGUCCUCCUUCCGGGGGACGGGUCCGAAAGGCAGCGGCGGCACCGCGUCCGGUCCUCAAGCGUAUGGGGCUUUGUCACUCGCUUUGUAGGCCUGGCCGGCGCUUGCCGAUCAACCAAACUUUUUAUCAGGUUGACCUCGGAUCAGGUAGGGAUACCCGCUGAACCUAAGCAUAUCA